rnacentral:rRNA from 1 species
AACGCUAGCUACAGGCUUAACACAUGCAAGUCGAGGGGCAGCAUGGAACUUAGCUUGCUAAGUUCUGAUGGCGACCGGCGCACGGGUGAGUAACACGUAUCCAACCUACCGUUUACUACGGGAUAGCCUUCUGAAAAGGAGAUUAAUACCGUAUGGCAUUCUAAAGUUUCAUGACAUUAGAAUUAAAGGUUUACCGGUAAUCGAUGGGGAUGCGUUCCAUUAGAUAGUAGGCGGGGUAACGGCCCGCCUAGUCAGCGAUGGAUAGGGGUUCUGAGAGGAAGGUCCCCCACAUUGGAACUGAGACACGGUCCAAACUCCUACGGGAGGCAGCAGUGAGGAAUAUUGGUCAAUGGACGAGAGUCUGAACCAGCCAAGUAGCGUGAAGGAUGACUGCCCUAUGGGUUGUAAACUUCUUUUAUAAAGGAAUAAAGUGGUCCACGUGUGGAUUUUUGUACGUACUUUAUGAAUAAGGAUCGGCUAACUCCGUGCCAGCAGCCGCGGUAAUACGGAGGAUCCAAGCGUUAUCCGGAUUUAUUGGGUUUAAAGGGAGCGUAGAUGGAUUUUUAAGUCAGUUGUGAAAGUUCGGGGCUCAACCCCGUAAUUGCAGUUGAUACUGGAUAUCUUGAGUACAGUUGAGGUAGGCGGAAUUCGUGGUGUAGCGGUGAAAUGCUUAGAUAUCACGAAGAACUCCGAUUG